rnacentral:rRNA from 1 species
AGGAUGAACGCUGGCGGCGUGCCUAAUACAUGCAAGUCGAACGGGGUGUUUGAGCAAUCGGACACUUAGUGGCGAACGGGUGAGUAACGCGUUGGUGACCUGCCCCAAAGGCGGGGGAUAACAGCCUGAAAGGGUUGCUAAUACCGCAUAUGAUGAUGAGAGACUAGAAACUUAUCAUUAAAGGAGAAAUCCACUUUGGGAGGGGCCUGCCGUCCCAUCAGCUAGUUGGUAGGGUAAAAGCCUACCAAGGACGAAGACGGGUAGGGACCUGAGAGGGUGACCCCCCACAAUGGAACUGAAACACGGUCCAUACACCUACGGGUGGCAGCAGUAGGGGAUAUUGCACAAUGGGCGGAAGCCUGAUGCAGCAACGCCGCGUGAGUGAUGAAGGCCCUCGGGUCGUAAAACUCUUUUCAAGAGGAAGAGGAAGGACGGUACUCUUGGAAUAAGCCUCGGCUAACUACGUG